GCGGGUUAGGUAUCACUGUGUGAAAGGAGAGAAGUGAAAGCGGGUUAGGUAUCACUGUGUGAAAGGAGAGAGGUGAAUGCGGGUUAGGUAUCACUGUGUGAAAGGAGAGAAGUGAAAGCGGGUUAGGUAUCACUGUGUGAAAGGAGAGAGGUGAAUGCGGGUUAGGUAUCACUGUG